rnacentral:rRNA from 1 species
GAUGAACGCUGGCGGCGUGCCUAAUACAUGCAAGUCGAGCGAACAGACGAGGAGCUUGCUCCUCUGACGUUAGCGGCGGACGGGUGAGUAACACGUGGAUAACCUACCUAUAAGACUGGGAUAACUUCGGGAAACCGGAGCUAAUACCGGAUAAUAUAUUGAACCGCAUGGUUCAAUAGUGAAAGACGGUUUUGCUGUCACUUGUAGAUGGAUCCGCGCCGCAUUAGCUAGUUGGUAAGGUAACGGCGUAACAAGGCAACGAUGCGUAGCCGACCUGAGAGGGUGAGCGGCGACAUGGGGACUGAGAUAAGGACCAGAAUGCGACGGGAGGCAGGAGGGGGGAAGAUUGCAAAAUGGGCGGAAGCCUGAUGCAGAAACGCCGCGUGCGGGAUGACGGCCUUCGGGUUGUAAACCGCUUUCGCCUGGGACGAAGCGUGAGGGACGGUAAUGGGUAAAGAAGCACCGGCUAACUACGUG